UACAGAGACUGCGAGCGUUAUUCGGAUUCACUGGGCGUAAAGGGUGCGCAGGUGGCUAGGUGUGUUAGGCGUGAAAGCCCGGGGCUUAACCCCGGAAUUGCACCUAAAGCUACUUGGCUAGAGCAUUGGAGAGGGGAGCAGAAUUCAUGGUGUAGCAGUGAAAUGCGUAGAUAUCAUGAGGAAUACCAGAGGCGAAGGCGGCUCCCUGGACAAUUGCUGACACUCAGGCACGAAAGCGUGGGGAGCAAAAGGG
rnacentral:rRNA from 1 species